GUAGGGUAGCGGGAAAUAGUAAUUUGACACCUAGUUUUGUGACUUUUGCUUGUCAAAAAAAAAAAAAAACAAUUUAAUUGUUUGCAAAAAUUUUAUGUUUCCCAAGAAUAAAAAGAAAACCAUUUGACAAAAAUGGACAAUCUCCUUGAAAAAAAAAAACAAUCGAUUGCCCUUACUGCUAGCCAUAAAUUCACUUCCUUGCAUUCCAGAAGAAGGAAGAAUAAAUUCAAUAAUUAUUCCCUCAGCAGACCUAUGGUGCAGAAUGUGAAGAGUACCUACUUCAAAAUAGUUUUCUCCACAUCAUGUUUUUUAACUUGCAUUCUCCUUUAAAUAUUUUUCAUUUUUUUACUUGAAUUUCAGUUAAAAAGGAAACUUUCUUUGAAUGUUCAGCUGGCAUAGCUCAUAAGUCAUAACAAAAUUGUUACCAAACUAGAAGCUGGCAUGACUAAGCCCAAUAAACAAACAAUCUUGCCUAUGUCAAAAAUCAAUGCUCUCUUCGUUAACCUCCCUGUGAGCAAAAUCAAAGGUCUUGGGCUUUGAUGUCUGUGAAAGACUAAAGAAGAAUCAAGAAUCUUGGAAAUUUGUUGAAUUUUUCUGAAGUUGAACUUUAAGAGGAAACUCGUCGGAAAAAAUAGAUUAUGGUUGCACUUUAUGUUCUCGCUUUUACUCGAAAAGCAUUGGUUGCUGUAAAAAAUUCAAAUUUCGGAUGGAUUUAUUCUAUUCUGCGACUUUCUUCUUUUCCAAUUAAAUUAAAUAUUCGUGGGAGCUCAUAGCGAACAGCACCUUGUUUAUUCAACCAAGUAAAUCACAUCGUCCUCUUUCCGGAACAAUGUCGUCUAGUGGAAGAUUUCUAAAAAAUAGGGAAGUUCAAAAUAUUUUCUGUAUCGAAAUGAAAAAACCGAUCCUGGAUUCAUCGACGAAAAAAUUCUACUAAUUAUAUCACAAAACCUGCACCGACUACAUUAAGCAAAUUGUUUUAUUCCUACUCUUAAAAAAAUCUUCAUCCACCAAUUCAUUCAUUAAUUGUAAAACAUUUUAUUCCCAUCGAUUAUUUUGUAGAACUGGAAGAAAAUCAUCAAGAAAUUCAAGAAAUAUCUUCUCAGCUAGAAACUAUUCGGAAGCUAUAAUCUUAAAUUUUUUUUAGAAACCUAAGUUUUAUGGAAAAAUUUAUUAAAGACAAAGCUAAAUCGAGGGCCACCCAUUCGAUGAUUGAUAAUCUUGACAUCAUUAAAAUGCACAUUGUCAGUAUUUCGGAUAUGAAAAAAGAAACUCGAGAAUUAGAAAUGAUUAACAAUCAUCACUUUAAUUGCACUAACAAAACUAUUCUAAAUGAUGCAGAAACAACGUUCUCAGCAACAAAUGGAGCUUAUUCUUUAUGAAAAUACAAAAGAAAAACUCAACCGAGCCUACAAGAGACUUGAGAAUGUUAAAAUGCUUACAAAAACUGUAUCCGAUGCACUUACGAAUGCCGAACUCAUAUGGAUAACUACACAAUUGGAUUUGGAAAAAAAUCGUAACCGAUUUAGUAACUCGGAUGAAUUAAAUAUGCAAUGAAAAUGUACAAAAGCUUGUUUGUAUGAAUAUGAAAAGUUUGGAAGGCUUUUGAAAUAUGCUUUGAAUGCAUUGAUAAAUAAGAAACCUUAUACGUCUGUUUUAGAUUUAAUCAAUGAACUCAAUCGAAUUGAGAACAUCUUGAAGCCUUAUGUGUAUGAAAGUCCUGUUAAAUUGGCCAUGUUCGAACAAAUAAACUUACUCAAACCAAUUUUCAAUGCAAAAAUGAAUAAGAAACAUUUUGAAAUUGAUUUUCGGCAUUUGCGUUCUCAAUUCCAGGAGAAUAUUCAUGAAAAAAUGAGCAAUGAUGCCUUGUUGCACAAUGGUCAGUUGCUUUGGAUUUGGUUUCUAACUGAACCAAAAAAAUUACUAGAUGCCGUUGCUGAGGUUCGAAAAGCAGCUUUUAAAGUACCAGUAAUGACGGGAGUCAAAUCACUUGGGGGUACAAAGAGAAAAGGAGGAGAAUCAAGUAUACCUUGAAAUGUUAUUGUAAUAUUUAUUUAUUUUU